rnacentral:lncRNA from 1 species
GGGGGGGGGGGGGAACUGCCCAAAAGGAGCCGAUGCAAAAAGUGGCCGGAAAAGGCUCACGCGCGUGGCGCGUGGGAGUCGCCGACGGCGCGUGGAUGGUCAUCGCUGGCGCGUGGGGCAGAUUCCGGCGGUGGAAUUUACAGGGGUUGCGCGCCUGACGCUGAGCGUCACGGUGGUGAAGGAGGUGUCGAAGGAAAAAAUACCGAAACCAGUGCGAAUCUUCGCCGGAACAGUGUUCCGAGCAAAGAGAGGGAUAGGGAUAAGGAUACUUUCCUCUUAAUUCACAAUAAUGUGGUUCCCCCCGUACCUCAGUUCAACUAUUUUGAAUCAUUGAAAAAGUGCCUCGUAUUUAUCGUAUAA